rnacentral:misc_RNA from 1 species
GUUGAAGUUCGUGGAAGAAAUGGGAAAAAGAUUGGUGAGGCUUAUAAUUUCGACGAGUUAAGAGAAAUGCAGUAUCUCCAUGCAGCUAUUUCAGAAUCCAUGAGGUUAUAUCCACCAGUACCAAUUGAUACAAGGAGUUGUUUGAAAGAUGAAAUUUUACCAGAUGGGACUUUUAUUGGUAAAGAUUGGUUUAUAAGUUAUCAAACUUAUAGCAUGGGAAGAAUGGAGAAUCUUUGGGGUAAAGAUUGUUGCGAGUAUAAACCAGAAAGAUGGUUCGAC